UAGAGUUUGAGUCCUGGCUCAGGAUGAACGCUGGCGGCGUGCUUAACACAUGCAAGUCGAGCGGAGCACAUCAUUGGAAUCCUUCGGGAGGAAGAGGAUGUGGCUUAGCGGCGGACGGGUGAGUAACGCGUGGACAACCUGCCCUAUGGCAGGGGGAUAACAUCCGGAAACGGGUGCUAAUACCGCAUAAGCGCACGGUACCGCAUGGUACGGUGUGAAAAGCUGAGGCGGCAUAGGAUGGGUCCGCGUUGGAUUAGGCAGUUGCGGGGUAACGGCCCACCAAACCGACGAUCCAUAGCCGGCCUGAGAGGGUGGACGGCCACAUUGGGACUGAGACACGGCCCAGACUCCUACGGGAGGCAGCAGUGGGGAAUAUUGCACAAUGGGGGGAACCCUGAUGCAGCGGCGCCGCGUGGGUGAGGAAGUACUUCGGUAUGUAAAGCCCUAUCAGCAGGGAAGAAAAUGACGGUACCUGACUAAGAAGCCCCGGCUAACUACGUG
rnacentral:rRNA from 1 species